rnacentral:rRNA from 1 species
AUUGAGCGCUGGCGGCAGGCCUAACACAUGCAAGUCGAGCGGUAGAGAGGUGCUUGCACCUCUUGAGAGCGGCGGACGGGUGAGUAAUGCCUAGGAAUCUGCCUGGUAGUGGGGGAUAACGUUCCGAAAGGAACGCUAAUACCGCAUACGUCCUACGGGAGAAAGCAGGGGACCUUCGGGCCUUGCGCUAUCAGAUGAGCCUAGGUCGGAUUAGCUAGUUGGUGAGGUAAUGGCUCACCAAGGCGACGAUCCGUAACUGGUCUGAGAGGAUGAUCAGUCACACUGGAACUGAGACACGGUCCGGACUCCUACGGGAGGCAGCAGUGGGGAAUAUUGGACAAUGGGCGAAAGCCUGAUCCAGCCAUGCCGCGCGUGUGAAGAAGGUCUUCGGAUUGUAAAGCACUUUAAGUUGGGAGGAAGGGCAGUAAGUUAAUACCUUGCUGUUUUGACGUUACCGACAGAAUAAGCACCGGCUAACUUCGUGCCAGCAGCCGCCGUAACAC